GCUUGUCUCAAAGAUUAAGCCAUGCAUGUCUUAGUGUAAAUAACUCUUAUGAAACUGCGAAUGGCUCAUUAAAUCAGUUAUCGUUUAUUUGAUGGUCCCUUACUACUUGGAUACCCGUAGUAAUUCUAGAGCUAAUACAUGCAUCAAUACCCAACUGUUCGCGGAAGGGUAGUAUUUAUUAGGUAUAGACCAACCCUCCUCGGAGGUGCUUUGGUGAUUCAUAAUAACUCGCGGAUCGGUUUACCGAUGCAUCAUUCAAGUUUCUGCCCUAUCAGCUUUGGAUGGUAGGGUAUUGGCCUACCAUGGCUUUAACGGGUAACGGAGAAUUAGGGUUCGAUUCCGGAGAGGGAGCCUGAGAAAUGGCUACCACAUCCAAGGAAGGCAGCAGG
rnacentral:rRNA from 1 species